GGAGUUAGCCGGUGCUUCUUCUGUGAGUGAUGUCCUUCCUGCCGGUUAUUGACCCGCAGGCCUUCUUCCUCACUGAAAGUGCUUUACAACCCGAAGGCCUUCUUCACACACGCGGCAUGGCUGGAUCAGGGUUGCCCCCAUUGUCCAAUAUUCCCCACUGCUGCCUCCCGUAGGAGUCUGGGCCGUGUCUCAGUCCCAGUGUGGCUGAUCAUCCUCUCAGACCAGCUACGGAUCGUCGCCUUGGUGAGCCGUUACCUCACCAACCAGCUAAUCCGACAUAGGCUCAUCCGAUAGCGCGAGGCCCGAAGGUCCCCCGGCUUUCCCCCGUAGGGCGUAUGCGGUAUUAGCCUGGGUUUCCCCCAGGUUAUCCCCCGACUACCGGGGCAGAUUCCUAUGCAUUACUCACCCGUCCGCCGCUCGCCACCAGGGAGCAAGCUCCCCGUGCUGCCGCUCGACUUGCAUGUGUUAGGCCUGCCGCCAGCGUUCAAUCUGAGCCAUAAUCAAACUCUGA
rnacentral:rRNA from 1 species